CCAGCACCCCGAGUUGUCGGGACGAUUAUUGGGCCUGAAGCAUCCGUAGCCUGUUCUGCAAGUCCUCCGUUAAAUCCACCUGCUCAACGGGUGGGCUGCGGAGGAUACCGCAGAGCUAGGAGGCGGGAGAGGCAAACGGUACUCAGUAGGUAGGGGUAAAAUCCAUUGAUCUACUGAAGACCACCAGUGGCGAAGGCGGUUCGCCAGAACGCGCUCGACGGUGAGGGAUGAAAGCUGGGGGAGCAAACCGGAUUAGAUACCCGGGUAGUCCCAGCUGUAAACGAUGCAGACUCGGUGAUGGGUUGGCCUUGAGCCAACCCAGUGCCGCAGGGAAGCCGUUAAGUCUGCCGCCUGGGGAGUACGGUCGCAAGACUG
rnacentral:rRNA from 1 species